rnacentral:rRNA from 1 species
GAACAAGUACCGUGAGGGAAAGAUGAAAAGCACUUUGAAAAGAGAGUUAAACAGUACGUGAAACCGUUAAAAGGGAAGCGAAUGGAGCCAGCAAGGCACCCGGUUUGAUUCAGCCGGUGGUCGUAGGCCCCCAACUGUGGUGAUCUUUUGACUCUGCGGUUGACGGCGCUUGCGAUUGCCGUGUGCACUUAUUCCGGGUGCGUGCCAACUUGGCUUGAUGACGAUUGACACGGACAGAUGGGAAGGUAACUUCCUUCGGGGAGCGUUAUAGCCCUUUGUCCCAGAUCGUCGUCGAGUGAGGUGUCGCGGUACGUGCUCUUUUGGGCUUGGGCCUCGUGGGCGGUCGGUCGCGCCUUCUGUUGACUGCACGCAGUGAGCGGAGGGACGACGGCAGGCUACUCGUGUGUGUCCCGUAUACGUGCCUAGGAAGUUGGCGUGCAAAUGGCUUCAUCCGACCCGUCUUGAAACACGGACCAAGGAGUCUGACGUGUGCGCGAGUCUCAGAGUGGCAAACUCUAGGGCGCAACGAAAGUGAAGGUUGGUUCGGCCAACUUAGGUGAGAUCCUCGCUUCUGCGAGGCGCAUCAUCGGCCGGCAAGAUUCACAUGUGAACUUGUCCGAGCAAGAGCGUACCCGUCGGGACCCGAAA